AUUGAACGCUGGCGGCAGGCUUAACACAUGCAAGUCGAGCGGGGUGAUGGUGCUUGCACUAUCACUUAGCGGCGGACGGGUGAGUAAUGCUUAGGAAUCUGCCUAUUAGUGGGGGACAACAUCUCGAAAGGGAUGCUAAUACCGCAUACGUCCUACGAGAGAAAGCAGGGGAUCACUUGUGACCUUGCGCUAAUAGAGGCGCAUAAGUCGGAUUAGCUAGUUGGUGGGGUAAAGGCCUACCAAGGCGACGAUCUGUAGCGGGUCUGAGAGGAUGAUCCGCCACACUGGGACUGAGACACGGCCCAGACUCCUACGGGAGGCAGCAGUGGGGAAUAUUGGACAAUGGGGGGAACCCUGAUCUAGCCAUGCCGCGUGUGUGAAGAAGGCCUUAUGGUUGUAAAGCACUUUAAGCGAGGAGGAGGCUCUUUUGGUUAAUACCCAAGAUGAGUGGACGUUACUCGCAGAAUAAGCACCGGCUAACUCUGUGCCAGCCGCCGCGGUAA
rnacentral:rRNA from 1 species